UCGUGGACCUCCUUGUCCAUGUGUGUGCUGACCUGCCUGGGUCAUCCUCUCUGUCCAAAAUCUGUGAAAAGCAGGUGAAGAAGAUGAUUCCACUGGUGAUCAAGAUGGUUACUACUUUCAUUCAGCCUGAAAACGUCUGUGAAACCCUGAAGGCCUGCGACUCCAGCAAAAUGUACAAGCCUCUCAGCUACUAUGCCAGGACUCCUGAGGCAGAUAUAACUGAAAAUAAGCUCAUCCAGUGUACUAUGUGCGAAACCAUCAUCAGGACAGUGGAGGGUUUGCUGCCGAAAGACAGGACUGAAG